UUCUUUGUGUGUCUUGUCCCUCCCACUCUCUCUCUCCCCUGCCCUAGGUCCCCAAUGAUUAUCUCUGCAGGUCGGGGCAAACUGGUACCCAACCUGGAACCUCUGGGUCUGGGGCCUGAGAGAGACCACUCUUUGCACUGAACCAUCGCUUCUUCAGGAAGUGAGUUAAGGUCCGCUCAGAGAUCGCUGCAGUGUCACCCAUACAGUGAGAUUGAUCCAAGAAAGCACUUUUCUCCAAGACACUGCUACCCACUGUGAGGCUGAACCUGGCUUCCUGAGAUGUUCCUGAAUAAGCAAAAGCCUGGCGACCCAGUGAUGACAGUCUGGUGACAAAGUACCUGGAAUGGUGGGGGAUGGGCCUUCCCCCUUUAUAAGCUCAGACUCUUAAGUAAACUUUAGGCCUUGAUCAGUA
rnacentral:lncRNA from 1 species